rnacentral:rRNA from 1 species
CCCCUAGAUGUUCUGGGCCGCACGCGCGCUACACUGAACAGUUCAACAAGUCUUAACCUUGGCCGAUAGGUCUGGGUAAUCUUUGAACGCUGUUCGUGAUUGGGAUAGACCUUUGCAAUUAUGGGUCUUCAACGAGGAAUUCCUAGUAAACGCAAGUCAUCAGCUUGCAUUGAUUACGUCCCUGCCCUUUGUACGCACCGCCCGUCGCACCUACCGAUUGAAUGGUCCGGUGAAAUCUCGGGACGGCGGCUUGGUCGCUUGCGUCCGACUGCUGAAACUUGAUUAAACCAUAUCAUUUAGAGGAAGGUGAANUCGUAACA